GACGAACGCUGGCGGCGCGCCUAACACAUGCAAGUCGAACGAGCGAGAGAGAGCUUGCUUUCUCGAGCGAGUGGCGAACGGGUGAGUAACGCGUGAGGAACCUGCCUCAAAGAGGGGGACAACAGUUGGAAACGACUGCUAAUACCGCAUAAGCCCACGGCUCGGCCUCGAGCCGGGGGAAAAGGAGCAAUCCGCUUUGAGAUGGCCUCGCGUCCGAUUAGCUAGUUGGUGAGGUAACGGCCCACCCAGGCGACGAUCGGUAGCCGGACUGAGAGGUUGAACGGCCACAUUGGGACUGAGACACGGCCCAGACUCCUACGGGAGGCAGCAGUGGGGAAUAUUGCACAAUGGGGGAAACCCUGAUGCAGCGACGCCGCGUGGAGGAAGAAGGUCUUCGGAUUGUAAACUCCUGUUGUUGGGGAAGAUAAUGACGGUACCCAACAAGGAAGUGACGGCUAACUACGUG
rnacentral:rRNA from 1 species